rnacentral:tRNA from 1 species
GGGGUUAUAGCUCAGUUGGUAGAGUGCUUGCCUUGCAUGCACAAAGCCCUGGGUUCAAUCCCCAGCACCA